AUUAGUGCACGAGGAUGGGAGCUUCCUCUCCCAUUUUCAGUUUGCCAGGGUGUUUCGGUUGGGGUUGGCUGCGUUGGGCGUGGAGGGUGCGGAGUUUGGAGGGCACUCCUUCCGAAUUGGUGCAGCGACGGAGGCUUUUCGGCUGGGUAUGCCGGAUCAGGAGGUACAGCAAAUUGGGAGUUGGGAAUCCAGGAGGUUUGUCUCUUAUGUGCGUCCUGCCGGUCUCCUGAGCUAGACUGUUUUGUUUUCCUCCCCAGGUCGGGUCCCC